GUUAUCACAUCUAGGGUUCUGAUUCUGAACUUUGCUCCCUAAAAUCCCCAAAAUCUCUAGAACCAUCACUUCCGCUCCACCAUCACCAAUCGAAUCAUCCUCUACUCCACCUCAUUGUCGAUGAUCCAAAACCCUAAUCGCUCCCAAAAAUGGCAACCGUUGGACUUCAGCAACGAGCAAAUGAUUUCUUAGGGUUCGGUUUGUUGGGAACUAUGACUAACGUCUUGUUAUUCUUAAUCGAAGAUUACAGGUCAAGGAUGAAGUAGUAGGUUACAAGUAGUAGAAGCAAGGAUACAAGUUUGAUUUUCAAAGGAUUUCACCACCAAAAGCAACAUGAAUUUCGAUACCAGAAGUUGAGCACAGAGCAAAGCUAGAUUCAACCCCAUUUGCCAAUCCUAAAAAGCGCAAGUCGGUUUCGACUUAGGCUGUUGUGGCAAUUCAGACGUUUAAUACUUGAGUCUCUGAGUGCAAAUUUGCAUCAUGAGUUAGACUAUCAGCUACUAUGGUUACUAUG
rnacentral:lncRNA from 1 species